rnacentral:rRNA from 1 species
AUUGAACGCUGGCGGCGGGCCUAACACAUGCAAGUCGAACGAAUGGCGGGAGGGUGAGUAAUGUCUGGGACACUGCCUGAUGGAGGGGGAUAACUACUGGAAACGGUAGCCACUACCGCAUACUAUAGGAUGUGCCGAGCUGGGAUUAGCUAGUAGGGGGGGUAAAGGCUCACCAAGGCGACGAUCCCUAGCUGGUUUGAGAGGAGCACCGGCCAAACUGGAACUGGAACACGGUCAAGACUCCUACGGAAGGAGGCAUGGGGGAAUUUUGGACAAUGGGGGAACGCCUGCUGCGGCAAUGCCGCGUGUGUGAAGAGGGCCGUCGGGUUGUAAAGUACUUUCAGCGGGAAGGCGGUACCCGCAGAAGAAGCACCGGCUAACUACGUGCCAGCAGCCGCGGUAAUUC